UGGACAUACCCAGGAUGAACUUAUCUUUUCUUACUAUCCAUCCCGGGGAUGCUGAAGCCCUCUAACCAAGAAGUUGAACUAUUCUUGUCAAAAUAUCAGCUUUGGGAAGCAUUCCCUUGAAAACCUGCACAAGACAAGGAUGCCCUCUCUCGCCACUCCUAUUCAACAUAGUAUUGGAAGUUCUGGCCAGAGCAAUCAGGCAAGAGAAAGAAAUAAACGGCAUUCAAAAAGGAAGAGAGGAAGUCAAACAAUCCCUGUUUGCAAAUGACAUGAUCCUAUAUUUAGAAAACUCUAUCCUCUCAGCCUAAGGGCUUCUUAAGCUGAUAAGCAACUUCAGCAAAGUCUCAGGAUACAAAAUCAAUGCGCAAAAUUCACUAGCAUUCCUACACGUCAACAACAGGCAAGCUAAGAGCCAAAUCAUGAAAAAAUUCCAGUUCACAAUUGCCACA